AAUAACAUGUAGAUUUGCAAUAUUUAUAUUAUAAUUAACAAUCAUCUGUGAAAAGAAAUGUUACAAUUCUGCUUUUAUUUAGUUUUUUUUACGUUUUGUAUUUUGAUCGAGUUAGACAGUGACACAGUGUGAUUUAGAUAAUAUGAGAUUUCGGAUAUUCUCCAUUAGAACCAAUAUCAGAUAUAUUUGCACACAAACUUUACAUUUCGAGACAACAAGAACAGCACAAACAUUUCAGCAUAAUAAAGAACAGCCUAAAAAUCAAGUGAAAAUAAUUAGUGUAAGUUUUCUAUGACUUGGAAUGUUAUAUUAUACGAUAUUUUAUGUAGCAUUGAACUCACGUUUCGUAUUCAACAAAAUACAAUAACGGAAAGUCAUAACAUAAUUAUUAUUUUCUUGUACCAGCAAUUCAAAAAUUUAAAAUCAAAUAUUUACUUGGCACACGUAGGUCAUUUGUUGCCCGAUAUUUUUUAAUCCGUUUUCUGUGUUAAAAAUAUCAUUAUAUUAUGUGUCGCUAUUCAAAUCAAUAUUUACACUUUAUAUUUGUAUCAAAACGUUACCACAAUGACCUUCUAAAUAAAUGUAAACUUCUUUACGAAUAUAUUUAGGUCCAGAGAAAUUAAAUAGGUAUAUUAAUUUCAAAUAGACUGGUUGUUUUUAAAACAAUAAUUACUAGCUUAUAAUGACAAACGACUUAUAUUUAUUGUAUAUAUUGUAUCGUAUACCACGUACUUAAAGUAUUUAUAAAUUAUAAUAACCUAUUCAAAACAAAGAUAAAGUAGACUAGAUAUUCUUUCAGGUUUUAGAAGCAUAUUCAUAAUAAGAUAUUAUAUUAUAUCAUCACUGGAUCGAUUAAACUGUUUAAUAAUUGCACAAUCGUAAUUUUUCUUAAAAAAUUUGUUGCAUAUCACGACAAAGCCAAAACUUCAAUUUUAUGUUGUAGGUAUAUUUUUGCAUAUUUAAGUAUUUCCUGCCUUUUUAAAUAUAUUUAGUUUUAUAAUAGCUUCUUGAACAAUAUUUCUUUGU